rnacentral:pre_miRNA from 1 species
UGGAUACUAUGAUGACGAUGAUGAUAAUGACAAUGAUGAUGGGCUAUCAUCCUCAUCGUCGUCGUCAUCAUUGUCAUUGUCAUCAUCAUCAUCAUUU